rnacentral:rRNA from 1 species
AUUGAACGCUGGCGGCAGGCCUAACACAUGCAAGUCGAGCGGAUGACGGGAGCUUGCUCCUUGAUUCAGCGGCGGACGGGUGAGUAAUGCCUAGGAAUCUGCCUGGUAGUGGGGGACAACGUUUCGAAAGGAACGCUAAUACCGCAUACGUCCUACGGGAGAAAGCAGGGGACCUUCUGGCCUUGCGCUAUCAGAUGAGCCUAGGUCGGAUUAGCUAGCUGGUGGGGUAAUGGCUCACCAAGGCGACGAUCCGUAACUGGUCUGAGAGGUUGAUAAGUCAUACUGGAAAUGUGACACAGUCCGGACUCAUACUGGAGGCAGCAGUGGGGAUUAUUGGACAAUGGGUUAAAGAUUGAUCCAGCCAUGACGUGUGAGUGAAGAAGGUCUUAAGUUUGUAAAGCACUUUAAGUUGGCAGGAAGGGCAGUAAGUUAAUACCUUACUGUUUUGACGUUACCGGCAGAAUAAGCACCGGCUAACUCUGUUCCAGCCGCCGCCGUAA